CUCACCGAGGUGGAGCGAGGUGGCGGGCAGUGGUAAGGAGGAAAGGGACUGCCGGGCCGCGCGAGGAGGUGACUCCUGGCCUGACCUUCUCCUUGCCCCACCCCCGCUCUCAGUGGGAGGAGUUAAAGCUCUGGGUUGAGGGAGAAGCUCCGGGAUCUUCGUCUGCGACAAGUCCACCAUUUUGCAGAUGAAGAAACUGAUGAGCUUAAUCAGUAUUACUGAGCUCCUGGAGCCAGAGGACUACUCAUUCUCUACUGGGAAAGUGAAAAUUGGGACAAUCACCUGGCAUCAUUGCGACUUGGCUAUGUUUAGGAAACUUGAAGUGGUUUUCCCUACAUUCCAGCAAGUCCAUUUCUAGGUGUAUACCUAAGAGAAGAGAGUGCUUAUGUCCAUCAACAAAAAUAUAUAAGGAUGUCCAUAGCAGUGCUAUUCAUAAUCACCAAAAACUGGAAACAACCCAAUGGCAAGGAACAGUGGGAAGGCUGGAACCCAAGGACCCCCACACCCUCACCUCCUUCCCAAGGACAGAGCCUAGAGCGCUGAUUAACUGGUUGGAGGGGAGCGUCUCAAGGGAGCUGACUGGCCUACAUUACACUAUAAUGGGAACAACAAAUAAACCUUGGCUGUGCUAAAGUGUUGACAUUUCAGGGAUUUAUUUGUCACUACUGCACAAUUGCUGUACCCUGAUUGAAACAGCUAGGUGAGUGGUAGCCAGGAUUUUAGUGCAGGUCUGUCUGACUUCAGCCCAUCUUAACCAUUUCCUUACAACUAGCACAGGAAGAUUUGGAGAGAGUUUCUGAUCUUUAAUUCUGCCACUAACCUCGUGUAGGAUCUUAGAUAAGUCCCUUAAAUGGCUCGGUUUUUUCAUUUGUACAAUGGAAAUAAAAAUACCUGCCCUUCCAA